GGGGGAGUAGUUAAAUUAACAUUUAAUUUGCAAUUAAAAAAUGCCCACUAUAAGAGCCUCCCUCAU
rnacentral:tRNA from 1 species